rnacentral:rRNA from 1 species
AGUGAACGCUGGCGGUAGGCCUAACACAUGCAAGCCGAACGGCAGCACAGGAGAGCUUGCUCUCUGGGUGGCGAGUGGCGGACGGGUGAGGAAUACAUCGGAAUCUACUUUUUCGUGGGGGAUAACGUAGGGAAACUUACGCUAAUACCGCAUACGACCUACGGGUGAAAGCAGGGGACCUUCGGGCCUUGCGCGAUUGAAUUAGCCGAUGUCGGAUUAGCUAGUUGGCGGGGUAAAGGCGCACCAAGGCGACGAGCCGUAGCGGGUCUGAGAGGAUGAGCAGCCACACUGGAACUGAGACACGGUCCAGACUCCUACGGGAGGCAGCAGGGGGGAAUAUUGGACAAUGGGCGCAAGCCUGAUCCAGCCAUACCGCGUGGGUGAAGAAGGCCUUCGGGUUGUAGAGCCCUUUUGUUGGGAAAGAAAUCCAGCUGGCUAAUACCCGGUUGGGAUGACGGUACCCAAAGAAUAAGCACCGGCUAACUUCGUGCCAGCCGCCGCAGUAA